rnacentral:rRNA from 1 species
UACCAGCACCCCGAGUGGUCGGGACGGAUUAUUGGGCCUAAAGCAUCCGUAGCCGGCCUUACAAGUCCUCCGUUAAAUCCAGCUGCUUAACAGAUGGGCUGCGGAGGAUACUAUAAGACUAGGAGGCAGGAGAGGCAAGCGGUACUCAGUGGGUAGGGGUAAAAUCCGUUGAUCCAUUGAAGACCACCAGUGGCGAAGGCGGCUUGCCAGAAUGCGCUCGACGGUGAGGGAUGAAAGCUGGGGGAGCAAACCGG